GCAGUGGAAGCGUGCUGGGCCCAUAACCCAGAGGUUGAUGGAUCAAAACCAUCCCCUGCUACAUGCUCAUCUUUUCCUGGGCAGUUGCCUGCAGACCUGUCCCUGUCCCCCUUCCAUUUCCCCAUCAGGGUAUGCAGAGCCCAGCAGCACCCUGUUCCAUGGUGUAAUGGUCAGCACUUUGGACUCUGAAUCCAGUGAUUACAGUUCAGGUCUCCGUGGGACUGCACGACUUGUUUGUCCCCUCCCCCUUUUGUCUCUUCAUCCCCACUUUGGUGUCCCUUCUUCCUUUUGCACUCAGGCCAAGGGUGGCCCUGUGGUGGCCCUGGUGUCUUGUGGUUCUAUGGUGUAAUGGUCAACACUCUGGACUUUGAAUCCAGCAAUCCAAGUUCAAAUCUUGGUAGAACCUGCCUCACCUGUGGCUCUUGUGUGCCCCCCCCCCCCCCGACACCCGUCCCCGGUAGUGCACAACGCAGUCCUCACCAGGACAGGCUGGUACCUUCCCAGAUCAGGGUCUCCUCUUUUGAGCCCACGUGGAGACCUCUGGCUGCAGCUUCCAUUUAACCCACUGGCCCUUCCAUGGUCACCUGUCACCUUUUCCUUAUGUGUCCACAUGCCCAGGACUCCUCUUAUCCCUGCACACUGCUGCCUGUGGCCUACAGGACAUAGUCUGGUGGAGGGGAGGGUUGACUCUGAAACCUCUGGUUCUCCUAAUCUUCUCUUGGGGUGCACAGGGCCCAGGACUCUUCUUGUCCCCACUCCUAAGCACAUCUCUUGAGAGACCUCCAGAGCAGAUUUAAGAGUCCCGAGUAAAGGCCCAGGAGCCUAACUCUGCAUCUGCUUCUCUUGUGACCUUGGAAAGACCCUGCCCUCUUGGGAUGUCAGCUUCCUCAUCUGUACAGUGAGGAGAGUUGGGUGAGCUGAUCCCCUGGGGUUCAUCCCAACUCUGCUGCACAAAUGUGAUUUCUAUCCUGCCCCUGACUGCUAUGGGACCCUGGGACUCAAUGUCCUCCUCAUUCCCGUUCUCCACUUGUCUUUGUGAAAAUGGGCUCAUAUCCCACCCAGAGCCCAGAUGAGAGCCCCAAGGAGCCUUGCUCCCCACACUGGCUCACGUAUGAUGACAAGGGCCUAUUCUGAGGGUUCCUUGGGGACGUACUGCAGAUAUUUCCCUAUUUGUGCAUUUAAAAAAAAAAUCCACGUUUUAACUGCC